rnacentral:rRNA from 1 species
ACGAACGCUGGCGGCGUGCCUAAUACAUGCAAGUUGAGCGAUGAAGAUUGGUGCUUGCACCAAUUUGAAGAGCAGCGAACGGGUGAGUAACGCGUGGGGAAUCUGCCUUUGAGCGGGGGACAACAUUUGGAAACGAAUGCUAAUACCGCAUAACAACUUUAAACAUAAGUUUUAAGUUUGAAAGAUGCAAUUGCAUCACUCAAAGAUGAUCCCGCGUUGUAUUAGCUAGUUGGUGAGGUAAAGGCUCACCAAGGCGAUGAUACAUAGCCGACCUGAGAGGGUGAUCGCCCACAUUGGGACUGAGACACGGCCCAAACUCCUACGGGAGGCAGCAGUAGGAAAUCUUCGGCAAUGGACGAAAGUCUGACCGAGCAACGCCGCGUGAGUGAAGAAGGUUUUCGGAUCGUAAAACUCUGUUGGUAGAGAAGAACGUUGGUGAGAGUGGAAAGCUCAUCAAGUGACGGUAACUACCCAGAAAGGGACGGCUAACUACGUG